GUAUACUAUAAAAGCUGUCCUAAGACAGCAGGUGUCCAAAAGGACAGAAAAGACACAUUGUCUUGCCUGCCGAGGAAAGGUGCGGAUAUCCGUGUAUAUUCACGCGGUUAACAGGCUCUUUCCAUCCGUGGAAAGAGCCGUUUUUGUUUGCGCC
rfam:Anaerotruncus colihominis DSM 17241 Scfld_02_21 genomic scaffold, whole genome shotgun sequence.